rnacentral:rRNA from 1 species
CCUACGGGGAGCAGCAGUGGGGAAUAUUGCACAAUGGGGGAAACCCUGAUGCAGCGACGCCGCGUGAGCGAUGAAGUAUUUCGGUAUGUAAAGCUCUAUCAGCAGGGAAGAAAAUGACGGUACCUGACUAAGAAGCCCCGGCUAACUACGUGCCAGCAGCCGCGGUAAUACGUAGGGGGCAAGCGUUAUCCGGAUUUACUGGGUGUAAAGGGAGCGUAGACGGUCCUGCAAGCCAGAUGUGAAAGCCCGGGGCUCAACCCCGGGACUGCAUUUGGAACUGCAUGGCUGGAGUGCGGGAGGGGCAGGCGGAAUUCCUGGUGUAGCGGUGAAAUGCGUAGAUAUCAGGAGGAACACCGGCGGCGAAGGCGGCCUGCUGGACCGCGACUGACGUUGAGGCUCGAAAGCGUGGGGAGCGAACAGGAUUAGAUACCCCUGUAGUC